AUUGAACGCUGGCGGCAGGCCUAACACAUGCAAGUCGAACGAGCGGCGGACGGGUGAGUAAUGUAUGGGAAACUGCCCGAUGGAGGGGGAUAACUACUGGAAACGGUGGCUAAUACCGCAUACUAUCGGAUGUACCCAUAUGGGAUUAGCUGGUUGGUGGGGUAAAGGCUCACCAAGGCGACGAUCCCUAGCUGGUCUGAGAGGAUGACCAGCCACACUGGAACUGAGACACGGCCCAGACUCCUACGGUAGGCAGCAGUGGGGAAUAUUGCACAAUGGGCGCAAGCCUGAUGCAGCCAUGCCGCGUGUAUGAAGAAGGCCUUCGGGUUGUAAAGUACUUUCAGCGGGGAGGCGUUACCCGCAGAAGAAGCACCGGCUAACUCCGUGCCAGCAGCCGCGGUAAUAC
rnacentral:rRNA from 1 species